rnacentral:rRNA from 1 species
AGUCGAGCGAACAGAUAAGGAGCUUGCUCCUUUGACGUUAGCGGCGGACGGGUGAGUAACACGUGGGUAACCUACCUAUAAGACUGGGACAACUUCGGGAAACCGGAGCUAAUACCGGAUAAUAUGUUGAACCGCAUGGUUCAAUAGUGAAAGAUGGUUUUGCUAUCACUUAUAGAUGGACCCGCGCCAUAUUAGCUAGUUGGUGAGGUAACGGCUCACCAAGGCAACGAUACGUAGCCGACCUGAGAGGGUGAUCGGCCACACUGGAACUGAGACACGGUCCAGACUCCUACGGGAGGCAGCAGUAGGGAAUCUUCCGCAAUGGGCGAAAGCCUGACGGAGCAACGCCGCGUGAGUGAUGAAGGUCUUAGGAUCGUAAAACUCUGUUAUUAGGGAAGAACAAACGUGUAAGUAACUGUGCACGUCUUGACGGUACCUAAUCAGAAAGCCACGGCUAACUACGUGCCAGCAGCCGCGGUAAUACGUAGGUGGCAAGCGUUACCCGGAAUUAUUGGGCGUAAAGCGCGCGUAGGCGGUUUUUUAAGUCUGAUGUGAAAGCCCACGGCUCAACCGUGGAGGGUCAUUGGAAACUGGAAAACUUGAGUGCAGAAGAGGAAAGUGGAAUUCCAUGUGUAGCGGUGAAAUGCGCAGAGAUAUGGAGGAACACCAGUGGCGAAGGCGACUUUCUGGUCUGUAACUGACGCUGAUGUGCGAAAGCGUGGGGA